GGACGGUCUUGUAUGUGUGAUCUGUCUUGUUUUUGUAGUUGUAGCCGGUUAGGGAGGAAGCUGUGAGUUUAUGUCCAGAUUUAAGAUCCGAUUUUAGGGUCGAUGAUUGAUCUGGUUUUCUAUCUUGGUUAUAUGUACUGUACACUCUCUCUGUGAGGCAGAAUUGCGCUAGUGGAUUGGGCUGACCUGAGCCUCCCAGAUAAAGCCUUCAAGGCCGAACUGGGUGACCAUUCUUGUGUUCUUAUUUUCUUGCACUUUAUAUUUGUGUUGUGCUUAAUGUGUUUUUCGGUGUUGGGGUACGAAUUGCCUAACAAUGCAUAAUAGUAAUAGUUUCCGCUUAACUCUUCUCUAAACUUGGCAGUUAUAUUUGAUAUCAGGAAGGGAUGAUUAUUGCUUAGUUCUUCUAAUUUUCUAAUUCUCCA
rnacentral:lncRNA from 1 species